AGAGUUUGAUCCUGGCUCAGAUUGAACGCUGGCGGCAUGCCUAACACAUGCAAGUCGCACGGUAUGGGGGCAACUCCAUGCAGUGGCGGACGGGUGAGUAACGCGUAGGAAUCUAUCCUUGGAUGGGGGACAACCGUGGGAAACUACGGCUAAUACCGCAUGAUGCCUGAGGGCCAAAGCUCGUGAGAGCGUCUGGGGAGGAGCCUGCGUCUGAUUAGGUAGUUGGUGGGGUAAAGGCCUACCAAGCCUGCGAUCAGUAGCUGGUCUGAGAGGAUGAUCAGCCACAUUGGGACUGAGACACGGCCCAAACUCCUACGGGAGGCAGCAGUGGGGAAUAUUGGACAAUGGGGGCAACCCUGAUCCAGCAAUGCCGCGUGGGUGAAGAAGGUUUUCGGAUUGUAAAGCCCUUUUGGCGGGGACGAUGAUGACGGUACCCGCAGAAUAAGCUCCGGCUAACUUCGUGCCAGCAGCCGCGGUAAUACGAAGGGGGCUAGCGUUGCUCGGAAUGACUGGGCGUAAAGGGCGCGUAGGCGGCUUGCAUAGUUAGGCGUGAAAUUCCUGGGCUCAACCUGGGGACUGCGUCUAAUACAUGCAGGCUUGAGUGUGAAAGAGGGUCGUGGAAUUUCCAGUGUAGAGGUGAAAUUCGUAGAUAUUGGAAAGAACACCGGUGGCGAAGGCGGCGACCUGGUUCAUUACUGACGCUGAGGCGCGAAAGCGUGGGGAGCAAACAGGAUUAGAUACCCUGGUAGUCC
rnacentral:rRNA from 1 species